UGGGGAAUUUUGGACAAUGGGGGAAACCCUGAUCCAGCCAUCCCGCGUGUGCGAUGAAGGCCUCCGGGUUGUAAAGCACUUUUGGCAGGAAAGAAACGCCAUGGGUUAAUACCCCGUGAAACUGACGGUACCUGCAGAAUAAGCACCGGCUAACUACGUGCCAGCAGCCGCGGUAAUACGUAGGGUGCAAGCGUUAAUCGGAAUUACUGGGCGUAAAGCGUGCGCAGGCGGUUCGGAAAGAAAGAUGUGAAAUCCCAGAGCUAAACUUUGGAACUGCAUUUUUAACUACCGGGCUAGAGUGUGUCAGAGGGAGGUGGAAUUCCGCGUGUAGCAGUGAAAUGCGUUGAUAUGCGGAGGAACACCGAUGGCGAAGGCAGCCUCCUGGGAUAACACUGACGCUCAUGCACGAAAGCGUGGGGAGCAAACAGG
rnacentral:rRNA from 1 species